CGAUUGGAACAAGAUUUCUGUUCGAAAAGCUGUUUACAGACACACUAUAAAUAACGCGUCACAGUAAAACGUGCGAUGCGUUCUGAGCGAUUCGCUCGGAAUCUAAAUUCAACUCGAAAUCUUCGCCGGAUUAUCGACGACGGUAAAAGAAUCAUCCUGUAUAAUCAACGCGGAUAGUAAUACCAUGUUAAAAAUUAUAAUAUUAUUAUGCGUUCGAGAAUAUGACAUACGAUUAAAAACAAAUUAUCAUAAGCCGAACGGCGGCUGCGGCGUGGACGGUCUAGUGUUUUAUUAUUAUGCUCGACGAUUGAAGGUUAAGAUCACAUUCGUGCUGCAGUCGCACAC